rnacentral:rRNA from 1 species
UACAGGGGGGUGCAAACGUUGCUCGGAAUCAUUGGGCGUAAAGAGCUCGUAGGCGGUCUGUCGCGUCUGCUGUGAAAACUCAGGGCUUAACCCUGAGCUUGCAGUGGGUACGGGCAGACUAGAGUGCGGUAGGGGAGACUGGAAUUCCUGGUGUAGCGGUGAAAUGCGCAGAUAUCAGGAGGAACACCGGUGGCGAAGGCGGGUCUCUGGGCCGUAACUGACG